CUGGGUUUCUCAGGCAUGGCUAAUUCCUAAACGGAUCGUGAAACUGAUGACAGUCACCUUAAGCGGCUCUCUCAAGCCAAUCUGUGCAGCCAGACCCCAGGGCUAGGCGUCAGCGGAGCCGGAGGCAGUGUCUACUUAUCCCGACACCCCUCCGGCCACUCCAGGCGCAGCCACCCAGAAAUCGCGGGGAGAAGCGGCGGGAGGGCGCUCCGACACUCUGCGAGCUGUGAACACGCUGCGGCGCGAAGUUGCACAGGUUUAAAUCCAGUAGGCACCGCCGCUAAGCUCCCGCGGCCGCGUAGGUGGCCAACCGCUCCGCGCGCUUUCCGAAGCGGCCAGGCUCCGAGACUGGAGCAAAGACGCCAGCGGCGCAGCCAUUUGGUUCCCGACGCCGCGGAGACCGGGACGCCUCCGGCCUGGGGAUGGCACCGGAGCCGACCCGGACCCAGUGGCUCCCAGGAACCCCGCGGGUCCCCCCGCCUUCCUCCCCCAUAUCCCCAGAAGGCGGCCGCAGCACCCCAGGGCCGGGGAGCCCCAAGGGCACUGGGCCACUCAGGACGUCGCGGCCGGUCCAGGAGCAGGAAGUUCCAGAGGGAGAGCGGCGGGCCGAGGAGGUGGCAGGGAAGGCGGCGGCGGAGGCGCACAGUGCGCUGGAACAGGUUGUCGGUGCGGCGCCCCAGGGCCAGCAGGUGCCCCUCGAGGUCCUCGAGCAGAGCCAGCGAGUGGCCGCAGAGGUCGGCGAGCUGCCGGAGCAGGCUGAGCGCGGCCAGGUGGCUCACGUCGCGGAGCUCGUUACAGAGAGAGAGAGAGAGGCAGAGACACAGGCAGAGGGAGAAGCAGGCUCCAUGCACC